rnacentral:miRNA from 1 species
CCUGCAGAGUGUUUCUUUUGCCGUGCAAAUUUGAGUUUUUGCACGGCAAAAGAAACAAUCUGGAGGGU